rnacentral:lncRNA from 1 species
CCCAGGAGGGCACCUCCUCUGAUGGGAGAGGCAGUCUGUGCCCAUAGAUAGCUUGAGAGUCAGAUAAAACAACAUAUAUGGAAAAAAGAGAUCAAUGUAGAGUCGCUUUGAAAAGCUAGCUGUGCAGUAUCUCUAUCUGUCUGUAGACUCAGAAGUGAUAUUCCUGGCUUUGCAGACACACCAUCGAAAUCCACAGGGCUGGACACAAAUGACACAGAAUCAUCACCUCGCAAGCAUCGAGCCAAGCCCCCUCACCAAAGAAUCCAAGCCAGAGCUGGCCCGAGGCCCCAGUCGCUGGUAUCUUAUGCCAGCCUUGCCAGGGGAGGCUUUCUCACGAUCAGGGACAUCUGGCCUGGCCCAGCUCCCAGAGGCCACCGACAUAAAAAGCGAGGGGCUCAGCGGAAACACCAUCUGCACAUCAUAAAGCCGCUCAGUGGUUCCCAGAGGCUGCCUCCAGCUGCGCCUGUGCUCCCCGGGCAAAGCAGAGGAAGGCACCAAGUGACCAGGAGGGGCAGAGGGAAGGACCGCUUAGACGGGGGAGCCGCGCUCGAUGCUGCCCUGAGGCUUCCGAAGCAGGCACCUGUAAGGGGUGGAGCCGUGGAGGAUAUUUCUUUGGCGGCGCUCCCUGAGGCCCUGCCCCAGCACCAUGGCCACAGCUGAUUGGACAAGGGGUAGGACGUGGCACAAGGGAAUCUUAUCUAUUGGCAGAUGAACGGAGCCUGUCAGGUUCUCAGCGGAGAAUUUGAACUGGGGGUCAAGCUGUCAGGCAGAGAGGAUUGAUGAUCAUAUUUGGCCUCAAAGAGUGGUGGAAGGAGGCAGAGAGAAGGAGAAAGAGACAGAUGAGUGAGAACGGCAGAAAUGAGACAGACACAAAGUUGCUGCAAGAAAAAAAAAAAAAGAUGAGAGAGGGGGAGGAGGCCUCCACUGAUGGGUUUUGGGUUCCCAUGUGAUUUCCCAGUAGACAAGGCUGUACUGCAUCUCCUGAUUUUGGAGCCCAUGAGAUGAGUCUGGCCAAGAAGCACAAACAUGCAUACACACAUGCCACACAUGCACACCACAUCCCACCCUAACAUGCAUGCACUGUUUUCUACUUUUUCUUUACAAUUCCCCACCCACAUCUGAACGAUUUCCAAAAUGGUGAAUCCCAAAGGAGACUAAUUC